rnacentral:tRNA from 2 species
GGCCGGAUGGCGGAAUUGGCAGACGCACAGGACUUAAAAUCCUGUGGCCCUUACGGGCCGUGCGGGUUCGACCCCCGCUCCGGCUA